rnacentral:rRNA from 1 species
GAGUGCGUAGGUGGCACCUUAAGCGCAGGGUUUAAGGCAAUGGCUCAACCAUUGUUCGCCUUGCGAACUGGGGUGCUUGAGUGCAGGAGGGGAAAGUGGAAUUCCUAGUGUAGCGGUGAAAUGCGUAGAUAUUAGGAAGAACACCAGUGGCGAAGGCGACUUUCUGGACGAAAACUGACGCUGAGGCGCGAAAGCCAGGGGAGCGAACGGGAUUAGAUACCCCGGUAGUCCUGGCCGUAAACGAUGGGUACUAGGUGUAGGAGGUAUCGACCCCUUCUGUGCCGGAGUUAACGCAAUAAGUACCCCGCCUGGGGAGUACGACCGCAAGGUUGAAACUCAAAGGAAUUGACGGGGGCCCGCACAAGCGGUGGAGCAUGUGGUUUAAUUCGAUGGUACGCGAGGAACCUUACCUGGGUUUGACAUCUAGUAGAAGACUUUAGAGAUAAGGUCGGGUAGCAAUACCCUGCUAGACAGGUGCUGCAUGGCUGUCGUCAGCUCGUGUCGUGAG